rnacentral:rRNA from 1 species
AUUGAACGCUGGCGGCAGGCCUAACACAUGCAAGUCGAACGAGUGGCGGACGGGUGAGUAAUGUCUGGGAAACUGCCCGAUGGAGGGGGAUAACUACUGGAAACGGUAGCUAAUACCGCAUACCAUCGGAUGUGCCCAGAUGGGAUUGGCUAGUAGGUGGGGUAACGGCUCAACGAGGCGACGAUCCCUAGCUGUGCUCAGAGGAUGACCAGCCACACGGGAACUGAGACACGGUCCAGACUCCUACGGGAGGCAGCAGUGGGGAAUAGUGCACAAUGGUCGCAAGCCUGAUGAAGCCAUGCCGCGGGUAUGAAGAAGGCCUUCGGGUUGUAAAGUACUUUCAGCGAGGAGGCGUUACUCGCAGAAGAAGCACCGGAUAACUCCGUGCCAGCAGCCGCGGUAAUUC